GGGGGGGGGGGGCGGGGGGCCGGGCGCGGGCGGGUCGGGCGGGCGGGGCGGGGGUGGUGGCGGGCGGGGGAGGAGCACGUGGGGGCGUGCCUGUAGGUUCGGAAGAACUCAGGGGGACUUGAGCUCAUCCCGCAUGUGCCCUUCGGGGGGUAGAUUAAUCGCCUUUAGAGCGGCCCGGGUCUGAUUAGCUAGUUGGUUGAGGUAAUGGCUCACCAAGGCGACGAGCAGUAGCUGGCCUGAGAGGAUGAUCAGCCACAGUGGGACUGAGACACGGCCCAAACUCCUACGGGAGGCAGCAGUGGGGAAUCUUGCGCAAUGGGCGAAAGCCUGACGCAGCCAUGCCGGGUGAAUGAUGAAGGUCUUAGGAUUGUAAAAUUCUUGCACCGGGGACGAUAAUGACGGUACCCGGAGAAGAAGCCACGGCUAACUUCGUG
rnacentral:rRNA from 1 species